rnacentral:rRNA from 1 species
AUUGAACGCUGGCGGCGUGCCUAACACAUGCAAGUCGAGCGGUAACAGGNGUAGCAAUACAUGCUGACGAGCGGCGGACGGGUGAGUAACGCUUGGGAAUCUGCCUGUUAGUGGGGGACAACCCGGGGAAACUCGGGCUAAUACCGCGUACGCACUACGGUGGAAAGCCGGGGACCGCAAGGCCUGGCGCUAACAGAUGAGCCCAAGUCGGAUUAGCUAGUUGGUAGGGUAACGGCCUACCAAGGCGACGAUCCGUAACUGGCCUGAGAGGACGACCAGUCACACCGGAACUGAGACACGGUCCGGACUCCUACCGGGAGGGCAGCAGUGGGGAAGUAUUGGACAAUAGGGCGGAAAGCCUGAUCCAGCGACGCCGCGUGGGUGAAGAAGGCCUGCGGUUGUAAAG